UCAGAUAGUAUUUGUCUUUUAGUGACUGACUCAUUUUAUGAAGAUGAACCCCUAGAUUCAUUUACGCUGUAACAUGUGUGAGAAUUUCCUUCCUUUUUAAGGCUGAAUUAUGUCCCACUGUAAGCAUGUUUCACAUUUAUUUUUCUGCUCACCAGUCGAUAGACAUUUGGGUUGGUUUAACCUCUUGGCUGUUGUGAAUAAUUCUUGAUGAAUUAAUUUUUAACAAAAGUGUCAAGGCAAUUCAGCUGAGAAAAGAUGGUCUUUUCAACAAAUGGUGCUAUGACAAUUGUAUAUCCACAUGCAAAACAAUAACUUUGAUCAGUAUUUCACAUCAUGAAAAAAUUAACUGAAAAUUAAUCAUAGAUCUAGGUAUAAAAUGUAAAAAUAUAAAUAUUAGUGAAGAAAACAGUAGAAAAUCUUUGUACUCUCAAAGUAAAGAUUUUCUAGAUACAAUAGGAAAAGCACAAUCUAUAUCAGAAAAAAGAAUAAAUCGUACUUCAUUAAGUAGAAUAAACUUUUGUUCUUCUAAAGAUGCUAAGAGAAUAAAAAGGCAAGCCAUAGACCAACAAAAUAUUUGCAAAUUGUAUAUCCAAUAAAGGAUGUGUAAGUAGAAUAUAUCAAGAACUCUUUAAACUCAACAGCAGGAAAACCAACAACCCAACUAAAAAUGGGCAAAAGAUUGGAACACACACUUCAAGGAAGACAUAGAAGUGGCAAAGAGGUUGAGAGUGGUGGCUCAUGGCUGUAAUUCCAGCACUUUGGAAGGCUGAGGCAGGUGGAUCACCUGAGGUCAGGAGUUUGAGAUGAGCCUGACCAACAUGGUGAAACCCUGUCUGUACUAAAAAUACAAAAUUACAAAAUACAAAAAUUAGCUGGGCAUGGUGGCGGGCACCUGUAAUCCCAGCUACUCAGGAGGCUGAGGCAGAAGAAUUACCUGAACCUAGGAGGUGGAGGUUGCAGUGAGCCGAGAUUGUGCCACUGCACUCUAAUUCUUAAAUAACUCUAUUUUGAUUCCUUUUUUUGUGCCAUUGUUAUACUUAUUACAUCAUUAUGUGUUGCAAACCUAACAGUACGUUGUUAUACUUAGUAUUUUAUGUAAUUUAAUGUUUUUAGAGAAGCUGAGAGAAGAAAGGAGAGCAAAUAUACAUUUACAGAGUUUGCUUCAUUAACAUUCUUAUUUAUGAUUGUGUUUUUUUCUUCAUUUAUUUCUAUGGAUUUGGGACACCAUCUCUUGUCAUUUCCUUAGUCCAGUACAGCUUUGCUUCCACCUGCCUCCUGUGGGCUGAUACUGUCAAAUAUAUUGUGAGUUUUAUAUGUUAUGGACCCAACAAUUCAAUUAUAUGCAUAUUGGCAGGUUGUAGUGGCUCAUGCCUGUAAUCUCAGCACUUUGGUAGGCUGAGGCGGGUGGACCACUUGAGGUCAGGAGUUCAAGAUCAGCCUGGUCAUCAUGGUGAGGCCCCAUCUUUACUAAAAAUAUAAAAAUGAGCUGGGUGUGGUGGUGCAUACCUGUAAUUCUAGCUACUCAGGAGGCUGAAGUUUUUUUUUUUUUUUUUUUUUUUUUUUUUUUUUUUUUUUUUUUUUUUUUUUUUUUUUUUUUUUUGAUUGUGUCCAGCCUGGGCAACUGAGUGAGACCCUGUCUCAAACAAACUAACAAACAAACCCAAUACAGUACAAAAAUAUGCAUAUUGUUUUAUAAGUUGCCUUUUAAAUCAGUCAGGAGAAGAAAAGAGAAAUAUGUAAUGAUACUGUUUUUAUAUGUACUCACAUAAUUUCCUUUGUUGACUCUCUUUUUUUGGUUUGGAAUUGAAAUAUGGUUUUGGUGAGUUUCUUUCAACCUGAAGAGCUUUCUUUAGUAUUUCUUUNNNNNNNNNNACAGAGUGAGACUCUAUCUCAAAAAAAAAAAAAAAAAAAAAAAAGUGGCAAAGAAGCACCUGAAAGCAGACUCAGCACGUCCAUCAUCAGAGAAAUGCAAACUAAAAGCACAGCAAGCUGCCACUGCACACCUAUUCCAGCACUACAUUAAAAAUACUG
rnacentral:lncRNA from 1 species